CUGGGAACUGAGUGAUCUGAGGGGGAGUAGCUGCUUUUGGAGGAGUCUUUGGAGCUGGUUUCUUCUUCACUGUUGCUUCACUGCUUUCUGUUGACAGCACAGGGGGAAGUGUGGUCUUAGGCUUCUUGGUCUUUUUCUCAGCUGGCUUCGCAGCCUUUGUGGAUGAGGUAUCUUCCACAAGCACUUUGCAAGCACAUUCUGCUUUUCCUGCUGCAUUCUCUGCUAUGCAUUUGUAUUCUCCUCCAUCUUCUGGCAUGACCUUCUCAAUGGUUAGUGAACACAGUGUUCCUUCUUGGGAGAUGACAAUGGACUUGGAUGAUUUGAUGGCUUUGCUGUCUAGCGUCCAGCUGACAGAUGCAGGGGGAUCAGAGGAAAUUCGACAUUGUAAGACCAAUUUUUCACCAUCUGCUACUUUAGCAUCCUGAAGCUUCUCUGUAAAGGAUGGUGCUGUUCCUUUGCUUGGUGGUGGUGUUGGCUUGCUUGCUGCUGGUUUGUUUUCAGCUUUUUUCCCAAUUAUUCCUCCAUCCACCACUGCACACCCAUGUUCACAUUUCCUGUCAUUCUUCUCUUCUUUUUUCACUACUGGUUUGGGAGCAGGGGCUUCAGAAUUGGGGGUGGCAUUCUGUGCUUCAGAACCGGCACGGGCAUUUGGUGCUGGGGUGCUAGCGCUGCCAUUCUCUGCAGGGGGCUUCUUCUUUGCACCCAGCACAGAUCUGAAAUCUGUAACGGCUGGCUUAGGAGGUGGCAC
rnacentral:lncRNA from 1 species